ACGUGACAUACGGGGUGCUACCGCGUUUGCGGAUGCUGAGAACAAACCCAUGGAACCUGAAACGGAUAAUGCCGACGCAGGGAUGAGAUUAUUCCACGAG
rfam:Prevotella salivae F0493 contig00002, whole genome shotgun sequence.